rnacentral:rRNA from 1 species
GAGUUUGAUCCUGGCUCAGGACGAACGCUGGCGGCGUGCUUAACACAUGCAAGUCGAACGAGAAUCACUGGAAGGAGUUUUCGGACAACGGAAGGUGAGGACAGUGGCGGACGGGUGAGUAACGCGUGAGGAACCUGCCUUUCAGAGGGGAACAACAGUUGGAAACGACUGCUAAUACCGCAUGACACAUAGAGAUCGCAUGGUUUUUAUGUCAAAGAUUUAUCGCUGAAAGAUGGCCUCGCGUCUGAUUAGCUAGUUGGUGAGGUAACGGCCCACCAAGGCGACGAUCAGUAGCCGGACUGAGAGGUUGACCGGCCACAUUGGGACUGAGAUACGGCCCAGACUCCUACGGGAGGCAGCAGUGGGGAAUAUUGGGCAAUGGGCGCAAGCCUGACCCAGCAACGCCGCGUGAAGGAAGAAGGCUUUCGGGUUGUAAACUUCUUUUGUCGGGGACGAGUAGAAGACGGUACCUGGCGAAUAAGCCACGGCUAACUACGUGCCAGCAGCCGCGGUAAUACGUAGGUGGCAAGCGUUGUCCGGAUUUACUGGGUGUAAAGGGCGUGUAGCCGGGAAGGCAAGUCAGAUGUGAAAUCCACGGGCUUAACUCGUGAACUGCAUUUGAAACUACUUUUCUUGAGUAUCGGAGAGGCAAUCGGAAUUCCUAGUGUAGCGGUGAAAUGCGUAGAUAUUAGGAGGAACACCAGUGGCGAAGGCGGAUUGCUGGACGACAACUGACGGUGAGGCGCGAAAGCGUGGGGAGCAANACAGGAUUAGAUACCCUGGUAGUCCACGCUGUAAACGAUGAAUA